rnacentral:rRNA from 1 species
GAUGAACGCUAGCGGCAGGCUUAAUACAUGCAAGUCGAACGGUAAGGUCUCUUCGGAGAUACACGAGUGGCGAACGGGUGAGUAACAUGUACGCAACCUACCUUGUACUGGAGAAUAGCCCCGGGAAACUGGGAUUAAUACUCCAUAGUCUUCAAUGAUCGCAUGAGAAAUGAAGUAAAACUCCGGUGGUACAAGAUGGGCGUGCAUCCCAUUAGAUAGUUGGUGAGGUAACGGCUCACCAAGUCCGCGAUGGGUAGCUGGCGUGAGAGCGCGACCAGCCACACUGGCACUGAGACACGGGCCAG